rnacentral:rRNA from 1 species
UACGGAGGGGGCUAGCGUUAUUCGGAAUUACUGGGCGUAAAGGGCGCGUAGGCGGCCUGCUAAGUCGAACGUGAAAUCCCUCGGCUUAACCGGGGAACUGCGUCUGAUACUGGAUGGCUUGAGAUUGGGAGAGGGAUGCGGAAUUCCAGGUGUAGCGGUGAAAUGCGUAGAUAUCUGGAGGAACACCGGUGGCGAAGGCGGCAUCCUGGACCAACACUGACGCUGAGGAGCGAAAAGCCAGGGGAGCAAACGGG